GAUGAACGCUGGCGGCGUGCUUAACACAUGCAAGUCGAACGAAGCACUUUAUUUGAUUUCCUUCGGGACUGAUUAUUUUGUGACUGAGUGGCGGACGGGUGAGUAACGCGUGGGUAACCUGCCUUGUACAGGGGGAUAACAGUUGGAAACGGCUGCUAAUACCGCAUAAGCGCACAGCAUCGCAUGAUGCAGUGUGAAAAACUCCGGUGGUAUAAGAUGGACCCGCGUUGGAUUAGCUAGUUGGUGAGGUAACGGCCCACCAAGGCGACGAUCCAUAGCCGACCUGAGAGGGUGACCGGCCACAUUGGGACUGAGACACGGCCCAAUCUCCUACGGGAGGCAGCAGUGGGGAAUAUUGCACAAUGGGCGAAAGCCUGAUGCAGCGACGCCGCGUGAGCGAAGAAGUAUUUCGGUAUGUAAAGCUCUAUCAGCAGGGAAGAUAAUGACGGUACCUGACUAAGAAGCACCGGCUAAAUACGUG
rnacentral:rRNA from 1 species